UACGGGGGGAGCAAGCGUUGUUCGGAUUUACUGGGCGUAAAGGGCGCGUAGGCGGCCACUGCAAGUCGGUUGUGAAAUCUCCGGGCUUAACUCGGAAAGGUCAAUCGAUACUGCAGGGCUAGAGUGCAGAAGGGGCAACUGGAAUUCUCGGUGUAGCGGUGAAAUGCGUAGAUAUCGAGAGGAACACCUGCGGCGAAGGCGGGUUGCUGGGCUGACACUGACGCUGAAGCGCGAAAGCUAGGGGAGCGAACGGG
rnacentral:rRNA from 1 species